CCCAGACUCCUACGGGAGGCAGCAGUGGGGGAUAUUGCACAAUGGGGGGAACCCUGAUGCAGCGACGCCGCGUGGGUGAAGAAGCGCCUCGGCGCGUAAAGCCCUGUCAGCAGGGAAGAAAAUGACGGUACCUGAGUAAGAAGCCCCGGCUAACUACGUGCCAGCAGCCGCGGUAAUACGUAGGGGGCAAGCGUUAUCCGGAUUUACUGGGUGUAAAGGGAGCGUAGACGGCAGUGCAAGUCUGGAGUGAAAGGCGGGGGCUCAACCCCCGGACUGCUCUGGAAACUGUACGGCUGGAGUGCAGGAGAGGUAAGUGGAAUUCCUGGUGUAGCGGUGAAAUGCGUAGAUAUCAGGAGGAACACCGGUGGCGAAGGCGGCUUACUGGACAGUGACUGACGUUGAGGCUCGAAAGCGUGGGGAGCGAACAGGAUUAGAUACCCUCGUAU
rnacentral:rRNA from 1 species